rnacentral:tRNA from 1 species
GGGAGCAUACUCAAGUGGUUAAGAGGACACCCUGCUAAGGUGUUAGAUCAGCAAUGGUGCGUGGGUUCGAAUCCCACUGCUUCCG